GUGAGCUGUGUCCCCUGGG
rnacentral:miRNA from 1 species